UGGGCAAUAGCUCAAUGGUAGAGCUCCGGCUUCGCAUGCGGGAAGACGUGAGUUCGAUUCCCGGUUGCUUAC
rnacentral:tRNA from 1 species